rnacentral:lncRNA from 1 species
CAGAGGAGAAAACCAUGGAACACAAGGUCUCCGGAGGAAAACAGUGCUCAGUGUUCCCAACCCCUGCACCGGAGUGUCAGUACUCUGACACUCAAGUCUAAGUUCCUUUUACAGGAGAUCUAAGCAGAAGUGCCUCUGACUGUCAUAACUGAAAAUGGUUAUCUACAGAAUGCUCUUGUGAAUACAGAGCUCAAAGCCAUUUUAUGAGACUGGCUGGAUUUAUCCUCAUGAGAUGCCUCUUGAGCCACAUAAGGCAGGAGAGAAGCAGGUGUCACCUUCACUUUCCCGGCACACGUGGGAAAACACAGAAGGUUAAGGCCCCUGUGACCCUCAGGCCUUCAGGGAGGACAGUGAGCAACACGAAUGCCAGACCCUGCUUUUCCAGGAUGCUGUCUGCAGUGGUGAGCGUGGGACCAGCCCCCAACAGCAGCCAGUGCCCAUGGCCCGAAGGCAUGGAUCCACUGAGCACACAGCUAUGUGCAGUCCUCCCCAGCAGGAAGAGAGACUCCUCUCCUGAGUGCCCUCCUCUCUCUACCCCAUCUCCUAGCUUAGAAUCACAGGAGGAAGAAAAGCUGAUCCUCUUAGGAAACUGA